rnacentral:rRNA from 1 species
UCGGAAUCACUGGGCGUAAAGGGUGCGUAGGCGGCUCUUUAAGUCAGGGGUGAAAUCCUGGAGCUCAACUCCAGAACUGCCUUUGAUACUGAGGAUCUUGAGUUCGGGAGAGGUGAGUGGAACUGCGAGUGUAGAGGUGAAAUUCGUAGAUAUUCGCAAGAACACCAGUGGCGAAGGCGGCUCACUGGCCCGAUACUGACGCUGAGGCACGAAAGCGUGGGGAGCAAACAGG